UGCCAAUGAUGUUUUAACCUUUGCACGUAUUAUCAGAAAUCAACAUGAUGAUAUCUGAUUGUCACUACCUCUGAGGCA